rnacentral:sRNA from 1 species
ACAAAAAAUCCAAAAAUAAACUUCAAUGUGAAUUUUGAUUUGGGCUAUAU